UGUAAAUGAAAAGUGGUCCUGUCAGAUAAAUGAAUGCUAUUAAUGUUUGUUAAAAGCGGUUAUUCAAUUAAUUAAAUGUGAUGUCAGUUGGAUGUGUGUGUGUGCGUGUGUGUGUGUACACUGCAA
rnacentral:sRNA from 1 species